rnacentral:rRNA from 1 species
GAUGAACGCUGGCGGCGUGCCUAAUACAUGCAAGUCGAGCGAACAGACGAGGAGCUUGCUCCUCUGAUGUUAGCGGCGGACGGGUGAGUAACACGUGGAUAACCUACCUAUAAGACUGGGAUAACUUCGGGAAACCGGAGCUAAUACCGGAUAACAUGUUGAACCGCAUGGUUCAACAGUGAAAGACGGUCUUGCUGUCACUUAUAGAUGGAUCCGCGCCGCAUUAGCUAGUUGGUAAGGUAACGGCUUACCAAGGCAACGAUGCGUAGCCGACAUGAGAGGGUGAUCGACCACACUGGAACUGAGACACGGUCCAGACUCCUACGGGAGGCAGCAGUAGGGAAUCUUCCGCAAUGGGCGAAAGCCUGACGGAGCAACGCCGCGUGAGUGAAGAAGGUCUUCGGAUCGUAAAACUCUGUUAUUAGGGAAGAACAAAUGUGUAAGUAACUAUGCACGUCUUGACGGUACCUAAUCAGAAAGCCACGGCUAACUACGU